rnacentral:rRNA from 1 species
GGCGGCCGCGGGAUUCGAUUAGAGUUUGAUCAUGGCUCAGAUUGAACGCUGGCGGCAGGCCUAACACAUGCAAGUCGAGCGGUAGAGAGAAGCUUGCUUCUCUUGAGAGCGGCGGACGGGUGAGUAAUGCCUAGGAAUCUGCCUGGUAGUGGGGGAUAACGUUCGGAAACGGACGCUAAUACCGCAUACGUCCUACGGGAGAAAGCAGGGGACCUUCGGGCCUUGCGCUAUCAGAUGAGCCUAGGUCGGAUUAGCUAGUUGGUGGGGUAAUGGCUCACCAAGGCGACGAUCCGUAACUGGUCUGAGAGGAUGAUCAGUCACACUGGAACUGAGACACGGUCCAGACUCCUACGGGAGGCAGCAGUGGGGAAUAUUGGACAAUGGGCGAAAGCCUGAUCCAGCCAUGCCGCGUGUGUGAAGAAGGUCUUCGGAUUGUAAAGCACUUUAAGUUGGGAGGAAGGGCAGUAAAUUAAUACUUUGCUGUUUUGACGUUACCGACAGAAUAAGCACCGGCUAACUCUGUGCCAGCAGCCGCGGUAAUACAGAGGGUGCAAGCGUUAAUCGGAAUUACUGGGCGUAAAGCGCGCGUAGGUGGUUCGUUAAGUUGGAUGUGAAAUCCCCGGGCUCAACCUGGGAACUGCAUUCAAAACUGACGAGCUAGAG